AAUGAACGCUGGCGGCAGGCCUAACACAUGCAAGUCGAACGGAUCCUUCGGGAUUAGUGGCGGACGGGUGAGUAACGCGUGGGAACAUACCCUUUGGUACGGAAUAGCCUCGGGAAACUGGGAGUAAUACCGUAUGUGGUCGAGAGACGAAAGAUUUAUCGCCAAAGGAUUGGCCCGCGUUGGAUUAGGUAGUUGGUGGGGUAAUGGCCUACCAAGCCGACGAUCCAUAGCUGGUUUGAGAGGAUGAUCAGCCACACUGGGACUGAUACACGGCGCGCACUCCUACGGGAGGCAGCAGUGGGGAAACUUCGACAAUGGGGGAAACCCUGAUCUAGCCAGGCCACUUGAUGGAUGAAGGCCUUAUGGUUGUAAAGAUCUUUCAGGUGGGAAGAUAAUGACUGUGCCACCAGAAGAAGCCCCGGCUAACUCCGUGCCAGCCGCCGCCGUAA
rnacentral:rRNA from 1 species